CUUCAAAGUUUUGGCAGAACUCCUCCCUUUCAGGAACCAAGGAUCUUCUGUCAUCUGAAAACUACCCAAAGGCUUUUCACAAUGAAAUCCAAAAGACAACUGCAAGCUUUGUUGUUUUGGCUGCUCUGGUCUAACUGAAACAGCUCACAAGCAGUUUGCAGAACUUAUAUGAAUUUCCAGACUAUCAGUCUGGAAAGUGGAACAUUUGGUGUGGGAGAGCUGUGGGAAGGGACGGACAUGAAAAGAUACAGGUCUUCAGAAACGGUUGAUCAGGAUGGAUUCUUCAAUAUCACUUACACUAUAAACUCUGUUGUCCAGAAGAAACGUUUUCAGAAAUGAAUGAUUAAAAGAAAAUAACUCCUUCACUGUAGCGCUAAGGUAGGCCAGGACUUUAAGGUUUCCUAAAACAAAGAGGAUGUUGACCUCUAAGCAAAUACCUGAAGUAGGAAAAGGACAUUCAAUCUCUGUCAUCAUUUGACUGAAAACGUUGCUUUCUGGCAGUAUUCCUGAAGCAUGCCUCUUGGGGGGUCUCAGCUGCCAGAUGAUUUCACAGCUCUCCAUGACCUUGCCAGCAGUCUAGCCAUGUUCAAAAGGCAGGGUUACGUUUCAGUUCUGUCAUGCAAAUGCACUAUGCCCUGCUGCCAGACCUCUUUUCUAUGUUUACUGUAAAUGCAGGCCACCGGCACUUCCCAGAGUGUCACAAUUGCACCUGUGCCAAACAGACAUCUGCUCUUCUGACAGAAAAUCCACAUUGCUAAUCCUUUAGGGAAAUACAUGAAGAAA